rnacentral:rRNA from 1 species
CAGUAGCCGCGGUAAUACGAAGGGUGCAAGCGUUAAUCGGAAUUACUGGGCGUAAAGCGUGCGUAGGUGGUGGUUUAAGUCCGUUGUGAAAGCCCUGGGCUCAACCUGGGAAUUGCAGUGGAUACUGGGUCACUAGAGUGUGGUAGAGGAUAGUGGAAUUUCCGGUGUAGCAGUGAAAUGCGUAGAGAUCGGAAGGAACAUCUGUGGCGAAGGCGACUAUCUGGGCCAACACUGACACUGAGGCACGAAAGCGUGGGGAGCAAACAGGAUUAGAUACCCGCGUAGUCCCUGUCUCUUAUAC